GCCAGGUGUGGUGGUGCACGCCUGUAAUUCCAGCUACUCGGGAGGCUGAGGCAGGAGAAUUGCUUGAACCCAGGAGGCGGAGGUUGCAGUGAGCCGAGAUCAUGCCGCUGCACUCCAGCCUGGGUGACAGAGUGAGACUCUGCCUCAA
rnacentral:SRP_RNA from 1 species